AUCCAACUGCCGAGUCCCAAAUAGAACGAAACGCGUGUCCUGGAU
rfam:Schistosoma haematobium scaffold560_12, whole genome shotgun sequence.